GAUAAACGCUGGCGGCGUGCCUAAUACAUGCAAGUCGAACGAAGAUCUGUAGCAAUACUUAUCUUAGUGGCGAAUGGGUGAGUAACGCGUUGGUGACCUGCCCCGAAGAGGGGGAUAACAGUUCGAAAGGAUUGCUAAUACCCCAUGUGGUCAUGAGAGUUAGAGGUCUUGUGUCUAAAGGAGUAAUCCACUUCGGGAGGGGCCUGCGUCCCAUCAGCUAGUUGGUAAGGUAACGGCUUACCAAGGCUACGACGGGUAGGGGGCCUGAGAGGGUGGCCCCCCACACUGGCACUGAAACACGGGCCAGACACCUACGGGUGGCAGCAGUAGGGAAUAUUGCGCAAUGGGCGAAAGCCUGAUGCAGCAACGCCGCGUGAGCGAUGAAGGCCUUCGGGUCGUAAAGCUCUUUUUGGGGAGAUGAGGAAGGACAGUAUCCUCAGAAUAAGGAUCGGCUAACUACGUGCCAGCAGCCGCCGUAACAC
rnacentral:rRNA from 1 species